rnacentral:rRNA from 1 species
UACGUAGGCAGCGAGCGUUGUUCGGAAUUACUGGGCGUAAAGAGUGUGUAGGCGGUGCUCUAAGUUCGGUGUGAAAUCUCCUGGCUUAACUGGGAGGGUGCGCCGGAAACUGGGGGGCUAGAGUACUGGAUGGGAGAGUGGAAUUCCUGGUGUAGCGGUGAAAUGCGUAGAUAUCAGGAGGAAUACCGGUGGUGCAGACGGCUCUCUGGACCGCGACUGACGCUGAGACACGAAAGCGUGGGUAGCAAACAGG